rnacentral:rRNA from 1 species
UACGUAGGGUGCAAGCGUUGUCCGGAAUUAUUGGGCGUAAAGAGCUUGUAGGCGGUUUGUCGCGUCUGCUGUGAAAUUUCGGGGCUCAACCCCGAACUUGCAGUGGGUACGGGCAGACUAGAGUGCGGUAGGGGAGACUGGAAUUCCUGGUGUAGCGGUGAAAUGCGCAGAUAUCAGGAGGAACACCGGUGGCGAAGGCGGGGUCUCUGGGCAGUAACUGACGCUGAGGAGCGAAAGCGUGGGGAGCGAACAGG